UACGAAGGGGGCUAGCGUUGUUCGGAAUUACUGGGCGUAAAGCGUGCGCAGGCGGCUUCUCAAGUCAGGGGUGAAAGCCCAGAGCUCAACUCUGGAAUUGCCUUUGAGACUGAGUGGCUUGAGUACGGGAGAGGUGAGUGGAAUUCCCAGUGUAGAGGUGAAAUUCGUAGAUAUUGGGAAGAACACCGGUGGCGAAGGCGGCAUCCUGGACCGACACUGACGCUGAUGAGCGAAAGCCAGGGGAGCAAACGGG
rnacentral:rRNA from 1 species